UAUCCUACAAUGGAGUGUGUCCUUUAGGAGUUGCCUGACACAGGUGGUCACUCAAAACGGGUGCUUUCUGUACUGUUAUAGGUCAGAUAAUAACACUUCCCUGUAGUCCUAGAUUUUUCAGUUGUAUUUUUUUGUUCAGAGUUUGCCAUAUUUAUAGAGGAUAUUGAAUGAGAUUUGGUUUGGUACUAAAUUUAUUGUACAAGUUGAGAAAAAUCAUAUUAUGCUAGCCUCUGGCAAGCUUAAUAUUGUUUUUUUCAACAAGUUCAAUAAAUUUAGUAAUGAAUUUACAGAAAACUAAUAUUCUAUUUACCACAUAUAUAAAAUAAGAACAGUUUACUGUAAAAACAUAAAAAAAGAGUAAUUUUUCAUUGACGUGCCUAUAGUGUAGCGCUAUCAUUAGCGCGCUUUAAAGCUAUUUUUGUAUAUAAUGCAAAUGACGGUUUGUCAAAGUGUUAUUACACUAGUGUAAUAUCAUUUUUCUUAAAUGGGUUUAUUACACUUUUGCGUUGUGCUUUAAGUGAUAAACAUGUAUAUUGGCUAACAAGUAAUGUUGAAACUUGAAAAAAACUUUCUGUUUCUGAACUUAUGUUUGCAAGAUUGUAAUUAUUCUCAUUUUUAUAUGCCCGAAAGAAUUUCGGACAUAUUAUGUUAUACCCCCUGGCGUCCGUCCGUCUGUCUGUCCGUCCGUCCGUCCGUCCUUCCGUCCGUCUGUCUGUCCGUCCGUCCGUUAGCAAUUUGGUUUCCGGAGCAUAACUGAAGUUCCAUUUGGCCCACAAUAUUCAAACUUCAUAGGAUGAUUGUCCAUAUUGGGUAGAAGACCCCUAUUGAUUUUGGGGUCAUAAGGUCAAAGGUCAAGGUCACUAUGACCUUAAAACUGAAAACGUUAGCAAUUUGGUUUCCGGAGCAUAACUUAAGUUCCAUUUGGCCCACAAUAUUCAAACUUCAUAGGAUGAUUGUCCAUAUUGGGUAGAAGACCCCUAUUGAUUUUGGGGUCAUAAGGUCAAAGGUCAAGGUCACUAUGACCUUAAAACUGAAAACAGUUUUUGGAGCAUAACUUAAGUUCCAUUUGGCCCACAGUGUUCAAACUUCAUAGGAUGAUUGUCCAUAUUUGGUAGAAGACCCCUAUUGAUUUUGGGGUCACAAGGUCAAAGGUCAAGGUCACUAUUACUUAGAAAUUGAAAACAGUUUCUUGAGCAUAACUUUAGUUCCAUUCAGCCCACAAUAUUCAAAAACUUCAUAGUAUGAUUGUCCAUAUUGGAUAAAAGACGCCUAAUGAUUUUGGGGUCACAAGGUCAAAGGUCAAGGUCACUUUUACCUUAGAAUUGAAAACAGUUUCUGGGACAUAACUUAAAGUUCCAUUUGGACCACAAUAUUGAAACUUCAAAGGAGGAUUGUUAUUUGAAGGAGGUAAUACUUUAUUUUAGUCCCAUGUCUUACAAAUGCU